rnacentral:rRNA from 1 species
CCCUAUGGGGUGCCGCAGGCGGAGGACAACGCAGGGGUGUCGGGCUGGCGCAUAGAACCCGAGGAUAUCCAGCAAGUAGAUGCAAUUUUAGGGAAAUUCAUAAAAACACCGGUAGGCCCCGAAUUUAUGGCGCCUGGCCUCAGCUGACCUCCCCCAUGGGUCGGAAUAUAAACUCCGAGCUUCCCAUGAGCCGAAGUAUAUGGUAUUAAGCAGCGCAAAAAGUAACAACUUCCAUACAGGGGAAGGAGUUUAGCGUUUUGAAGGACCCAUGCUUAACGGAAGUGCUGGAGUCAGCAUCGUCUUACCGUCCUCGUCAAUCCGCGGCUAUAUGGCAGGCGCCCAUUGACGGCUGGAGGGAGAAGCUGGCGGAGACAUUGGAGCAGGCGGGGGGGC